UACCAGAUGAUUAGGUUGUCGUCCCAGUCCGCCCCUGAUACCAGAUUAUUAGGUUGUUGUCCCUGUCCGCCCCUGAUACCAGAUGAUUAGUUUGUCGUCCCUGUCCGCCCCUGAUACCAGAAGAUUAGGUUGUGGUCUUUGUCUGCCCCUGAUACCAGAUGAUUAGGUUGUGUUCCCAGUCCGCCCCUGAUACCAGAUGAUUAGGUUGUGGUCCUGGUCCGCCCCUGAUACCAGAUGAUUAGGUUGCAGUCCCUGUCCGCCCCUGAUACCAGAUGAUUAGGUUGUGGUCCCGGUCCGCCCCUGAUACCAGAUUAUUAGAUUGUCGUCCCUGUCCGCCCCUGACACCAGAUGAUUAGUUUGUCGUCCCUGUCCGUCCCUGAUACCAGAAGAUUAGGUUGUGGUCUUUGUCUGCCCCUGAUACCAGAUGAUUAGGUUGUGUUCCCAGUCCGCCCCUGAUACCAGAUGAUUAGGUUGUGGUCCCGGUCCGCCCCUGAUACCAGAUGAAUAGAUUGUGGUCCCUGUCCACCCCUGAUACCAGAUGAUUAGGUUGCCGUCCCUGUCCGCCCCUGAUACCAGAUGAUUAGGUUGUGGUACCAUGUCCGCCCCUGAUACCAGAUGAUUAGGUUGUGGUCCCUGUCCGCCCCUGAUACCAGAUGAUUAGGUUGUGUUCCCAGUCCGUCCCUGAUAC
ensembl:lncRNA